GACGAACGCUGGCGGCGUGCUUAACACAUGCAAGUCGAACGGAAAGGCCCUGCUUUUGUGGGGUGCUCGAGUGGCGAACGGGUGAGUAACACGUGAGUAACCUGCCCUUGACUUUGGGAUAACUUCAGGAAACUGGGGCUAAUACCGGAUAGGAGCUCCUGCUGCAUGGUGGGGGUUGGAAAGUUUCGGCGGUUGGGGAUGGACUCGCGGCUUAUCAGCUUGUUGGUGGGGUAGUGGCUUACCAAGGGUUUGACGGGUAGCCGGCCUGAGAGGGUGACCGGCCACAGUGGGACGGAGAUACGGCCCAGACUCCAACGGGAGGCAGCAGUGGGGAAUAUUGCACAAUGGGCGGAAGCCUGAUGCAGCAACGCCGCGUGCGGGAUGACGGCCUUCGGGUUGUAAACCGCUUUCGCCUGUGACGAAGCGUGAGUGACGGUAAUGGGUAAAGAAGCACCGGCUAACUACGUG
rnacentral:rRNA from 1 species